rnacentral:rRNA from 1 species
GACAAACGCUGGCGGCGUGCUUAACACAUGCCAGUCGAACGGUGAAGCGCCUUCCUUUUUGGUGGGUGUGGAUGAGUGGCGAACGGGUGAGUAACACGUGAGUAACCUGCCCCCUUCUUCUGGAUAACCGCAUGAAAGUGUGGCUAAUACGGGAUAUUCUGGGUCUGUCGCAUGAUGGGUCUGGGAAAGAUAUUGUUUCGGUGGGGGAUGGGCUCGCGGCCUAUCAGCUUGUUGGUGGGGUGAUGGCCUACCAAGGCGGUGACGGGUAGCCGGCCUGAGAGGGUGGACGGUCACACUGGGACUGAGACACGGCCCAGACUCCUACGGGAGGCAGCAGUGGGGAAUAUUGCACAAUGGGCGCAAGCCUGAUGCAGCGACGCCGCGUGAGGGAUGGAGGCCUUCGGGUUGUGAACCUCUUUCGCCAGUGAAGCAGGCCUGCCUCGUUUGUGGGUGGGUUGACGGUAGCUGGAUAAGAAGCGCCGGCUAACUACGUG